rnacentral:lncRNA from 1 species
AUUUCUCUAAGCGAUGUCUUCUCCUUGAAGUUUCUUCUCUUCUUUCACUUUAAUUUGUUUUGUCCCUCAAUUUAAAGAAAUGUUUCAUUGUAAAGAGUAGCAGACCUUGAAAACCCUGGAAGAGGGCCAUCAAACCUGCUUCAAAGGACAACCUCUGUAACAGCACCCCAGAACUGGGAGAAAGCUUUGUUAACAGCUGAUCUCAACAUUUUUUUACUACUCUGUCAGAGACUGUCUCUAGUCAUACCUGGAAAAUCAUGGCUGAAAACAGACCUUGCUCUCUGUGAAUGGACAGUUCAGCAUAUCGCCUCUCCUGGGUACGGGGGUGAGAGUCUACCACCUAUGCCUAUGGUCUCUCUGCUUCACAAGGUAAGUACUAAGUACUCCUUAGGCAGAGCUUACAAGAUUAUCAGAGUUGACAAGGCUGAUGUUUUGAUGACUAAAAAAGAACAAAACCAACUCCCCAAAACAAGCCACUCCCAAAUACUAAACCCCAUCUCGUUGAUAUAGGUCAUGGUGUAUCAGGGAAGGCUUUCUCAUGGUCUGGUACUCUCC